rnacentral:rRNA from 1 species
UGCAGUCGAGCGAAUGAUGAGGAGCUUGCUCCUCUGAUUUAGCGGCGGACGGGUGAGUAACACGUGGGCAACCUGCCCUGUAGACUGGGAUAACUUCGGGAAACCGGAGCUAAUACCGGAUAAUCCAUCUUCUCUCAUGUGAAGAUGUUGAAAGGCGCUUCGGCGUCACUACAGGAUGGGCCCGCGGUGCAUUAGCUAGUUGGUGGGGUAACGGCCUACCAAGGCAACGAUGCAUAGCCGACCUGAGAGGGUGAUCGGCCACAUUGGGACUGAGACACGGCCCAAACUCCUACGGGAGGCAGCAGUAGGGAAUCUUCCACAAUGGACGAAAGUCUGAUGGAGCAACGCCGCGUGAGUGAUGAAGGUUUUCGGAUCGUAAAACUCUGUUGUAAGGGAAGAACAAGUACGUUAGGAAAUGAACGUACCUUGACGGUACCUUAUUAUAAAGCCACGGCUAACUACGUGCCAGCCGCCGCGGUAA